CAUUGAGCAAAGCUAAUAUUCUCCCAGCAUAUGGUCUAAAAUCUUUGCUAGAGAUCGGGAAAAAGAAACAAACAAACAAACAAACAACAACAAAAUCCUUAAGCUUCCUCUCCCAAGUCCCCCCAUCCCCACCCCCACUUCCCACCUCCUCGCUUUCAGCAAACUUCCCAGCCUGGGAAAAGUGCGGCGCGGGACAGCGCGACGGGGUGGGUGGGGGACCUGCUGCCGGGAGAUGCGGCGGCGGCCGCGCGGCUGACUGCGACUCGGGAGCUCCGGGAGCGGCCCGCGCAGGAGCACCAGCGAAAGCAGCCAGUCUGAGAUAUUGACACUACAGAAAAAACUGACAGCUUACUCCUUGUAUUGAUUCUACUCUUCUCUACAAAUAUAGACUCCGUUCCCUACCACAGCCUUGCUGGAAUGCAAUGGUGUGAUCUCGGCUCACUAUAACCUUCGCCUCCUGGCUUCAAGCGAUUCUCCUGCCUCAGCCUCCUGAGUAGCUGGGACUACAGGCUCCUACCACCACGCCCAGCUAAUUUUUGUAUUUUUAGUAGAGAUGGGGUUUCACCACGUUGGCCAGGCUAGUCUUGAACUCCUGACCUCAGGUGAUCUGCCUGCCUCAGCCUCCCAAAGUGCUGGGAUUACAAGCAUGAGCCACCGCACCUGGCCACGUUUUUAAAAUAGUGAUGACUUUAUUCAGAUUUUCUAUUUCUUGUGAUUAAAUUUGUUAAAUUUGUUUAGAAAAAUGCCCAUCUUGUGAUCAAAUUUGAGUUCAAUUUGUUUAGGAAAAUUGCCAUAAAAUUGUUCAGAAUAUUCACAGAUUAUUUUUGAGUAUCUACUAUAAUUCUUAUGUUUUGUUUGUAAUGUCUAACAUUCCUUGUCUUUGCAAAUAAUAAAUUUGACCUUGUUAAGACU
rnacentral:lncRNA from 10 species